CUGAUAUUGCCUGUUUUCAAUGAAAGAAAGAAAAAAAUGUUUUCUUACUUAACAAGUUCCGAUCAACUUGAUCUGUGCAUACGGUUUCAUGCAGCGCUAUUUCAGGCAUAAUCACAGUACACAGUACACAAUUGAAAUGACGUCAAAUUGCGCUAAAAUGUUUUUGGAAAUCUCGCAUACCUGGUAGCUCUAUAGACUGUGCAUUUUUGAAAAGCUCGCUCAUUCUGGCCUCUUCUGGAACAUAAUUUAUUUUAGGUAUCAAUUUCUAGGUAGAGAUUCAUUGAUUUCAUCUUGGUUUCAAUUUGUGAGUUUAAAUAACUUGCAACCAAAAGUAAGCGGUUUUUAGCAUUUCUCCUUGAAAAUGUUCAAGUGUUUACUCAGUACUAGCUUCUUUUUAUAUUGAUAACGUAAAUAUGCAUGGAUAAGCUUGGGUUUAAAAACUAUUACUUCUAUGAAUCUUUAAAAUCCUUAUACAUGUAUUACAUGAUAUAAGUAAAAUUCGUUAUUUUGUAUUUUUCAUCCGCCUUUUAAAGUAAAACAACGUCGUGUGUUAAGAAAAAAAAACUAAAGGAAAGAAAAAAAAUUAUGUCAUAAUUUGUGUAUGAAAACAUGAAAAAUGGUCCGUAUCUUGAACAUGCCCCCAUUUCACUACAAUGAAGGCAAGCCAUCAACAACAAGAAUCUCCGCAAAUACAAUUGAAACACCAAUUCAAGAAAGCAGACAAUACCUUAAAUUCCAAGGAAGUGUUUCGCAGAAAGAAGUCACGACCAGUGAGGAGUCUUCGGUAGAUUAUCUUGAACCCUUUCCUGUUUAAGUUGACGUCAUUUAAUUCAUGCAUUAAUACCAUAUAUGAUCGUGGCUUUUUCCCCCGGGAUAUUCUUUUUUGUAUGUUUAUUUCAUCUUAAUUCCUUAGUUAUGAAGUUCUAUUUGACUAUCGUUGCAUUAAGGAUAUGGAGAUAACGAACAGUAUUCAAUCUUAA